AUUGAACGCUGGCGGCAGGCCUAACACAUGCAAGUCGAGCGGAUGAAGGGAGCUUGCUCCUGGAUUCAGCGGCGGACGGGUGAGUAAUGCCUAGGAAUCUGCCCGGUAGUGGGGGAUAACGUCCGGAAACGGGCGCUAAUACCGCAUACGUCCUGAGGGAGAAAGUGGGGGAUCUUCGGACCUCACGCUAUCAGAUGAGCCUAGGUCGGAUUAGCUAGUUGGUGGGGUAAAGGCCUACCAAGGCGACGAUCCGUAACUGGUCUGAGAGGAUGAUCAGUCACACUGGAACUGAGACACGGUCCAGACUCCUACGGGAGGCAGCAGUGGGGAAUAUUGGACAAUGGGCGAAAGCCUGAUCCAGCCAUGCCGCGUGUGUGAAGAAGGUCUUCGGAUUGUAAAGCACUUUAAGUUGGGAGGAAGGGCAGUAAGUUAAUACCUUGCUGUAUUGACGUUACCAACAGAAUAAGCACCGGCUAACUUCGUG
rnacentral:rRNA from 1 species